rnacentral:tRNA from 1 species
GGAUUGUGGCUCAGUGGUAGAGUGCCUGCCUAGCAUGGGCGGGACCUGGGUUUGAUCCUCAGCACCA